rnacentral:rRNA from 1 species
CACGCCCUAAACGAUGUCAACUGGUUGUUGGGUCUUUACUGACUCAGUAACGAAGCUAACGCGUGAAGUUGACCGCCUGGGGAGUACGGCCGCAAGGUUGAAACUCAAAGGAAUUGACGGGGGCCCGCACAAGCGGUGGAGCAUGUGGUUUAAUUCGAUGCAACGCGAAGAACCUUACCUGGCCUUGACAUGUCUGGAAUCCUGCAGAGAUGCGGGAGUGCCUUCGGGAAUCAGAACACAGGUGC